UUGCUUCAGCAACACAUAGACUAAAAUUGGAAUGAUACAGAGGAGAUUAGCAUGGCCCCUGCACAAGGAUGACACGCAAAUUUGUGAAGCAUUCCAUAUUUAA
rnacentral:snRNA from 10 species